GAUAACCCAUCAUGUUUUUGUGCUUUGUUACCAUUCAUUGAAAGACUACGGCGUUCCUUCCCUCCUGGCUUAGACGAGGCCUUAGCAUUACCAUACCAGAUCAUUCCUGAUAAUCAUACCUACAAUUACUUGAAGAUUAAGACCCUCCUUCCCGAAGAAAAUAAAUCCUAAGGUCAGGACAAGAAUUGUCUUCAUAUGACCAAGCACUUGGAAUGACACAGCA
rnacentral:misc_RNA from 1 species